rnacentral:hammerhead_ribozyme from 1 species
AUUUAACUGACGAGUCCCACAUUGGACGAAACGCGCAUCCUGCAU